rnacentral:rRNA from 1 species
UUCGGGAAGUUCCGAGACAGGUGCUGCAUGGCUGUCGUCAGCUCGUGCCGUGAGGUGUUGGGUUAAGUCCCGCAACGAGCGCAACCCUAUUGCCAGUUGCUACCAGGUAAUGCUGGGCACUCUGGUGAGACUGCCCGGUUAACGGGGAGGAAGGUGGGGACGACGUCAAGUCAUCAUGGCCCUUACGCCUAGGGCUACACACGUACUACAAUGGCGCAUACAAAGGGCAGCGAUACCGCGAGGUGGAGCCAAUCCCAAAAAGUGCGUCCCAGUCCGGAUUGCAGUCUGCAACUCGACUGCAUGAAGUUGGAAUCGCUAGUAAUUCGAGAUCAGCAUGCUCGGGUGAAUGCGUUCCCGGGCCUU